CUGCCCUAUCAAGAGUGUUUCCAUCCAAUGUAGUGGGACAACUGAAUAAGCUUGAAGAGUUGAUAAUAGAAGAAUGUAAGUCAAUGGUGGAGAUAUUUGAAAGUAAAGAAAUAAACAAAGAUGGUGUUGAUAGUACUACGAAUGUUGGUGAUGGAAGUGAUGAUACUUGUACUGCAAUCACCCUCCCAAGGUCGACCAAUAUGACUCUGCUUCAAUUGCCCAACCUAACAAUAUUGUAUAUAUAUAAAUGUGAAGUAUUGGAAUAUAUAUUCACAAGUUCCACACUUGAAAGCCUCAAGCAACUCAAAGAACUGACUGUAAAACAAUGCAAGGCAAUGAAAGUGAUUGUGAAGGAAGACGGAGAUUUACCAGAACUCAAGGGUUUCUUCCCUCGUCUCAUGUCCCUUUUGCUGGCUGAUUUACCAGAUCUCAAGGGUUUCUUCUUGGGGGGUUUCAGGUCGGUUCAUAUAUAACCACUUCCCAUUUUUUGUAUGUAUAAAAAGUUACGAAAAUAUGCAAUUUUUUUUUAAUAUAAGUUAAUAUUUCAUUCCUAAGAUAUUAAGUGGUCUCUUAUGUUAUAAAAGAUGUUAUAUUCACUAAUUCAUAAGUUAGCAAUUUAAUAUUUUAAUCAAGUUAGAUGAAGUAAAGACAAAAGGCCCAAUUGACGCAUUCACUGAGGGUGGUUUUUUCCAUGUCCAAAGAUUUUUGAACAUAUACUAUACUAGUUUCCGUUUGAUCAGAAUCAGAUCAACAACCCCUUCUUCUUUACAGUGUCCCUAUUGUAACCACAAAAAUCAACAAAUACAGGGACCAAAUUUGCAGUUUUCGCUAAAACGUAUUUUAAUUUGACAAAAAAAUUGAUCGGUUUGUAGAAAAACAAAGUAUUCAAUUAAAGGAAUAACAAAAUAAGCACCUAAGAAAAAGUGCUUCUAAAAUUUACAAAAUAUUUACGUUCCUUAAAAAUACAAGACUUAAGAAUUUAUAUCAAAUAUAUGAACAUAAAAAAUUAUUUUCUUGUGUAUUACAAAUGAUACUUUUCAAGUUCAUUCUUAUUCAAAUCAUUUGUAAAUUUCAUAGAAUGUGAUCGUUUGGUACCUGACAUAAAUCAUUAAUUAGGAACUUAGAACUAACAUCUUCAUUCGGUUAAGAAAAGAAAACACAAAAUAGAUGGAAAUUAAAGCAUUGCCUUAUUUUACAUAUUUUCACUCAUAUCUGUUAACAAAUAGAUUUUUGUAUGGAAGUAUAUAUUGUAAUUAAAUCAUUUAUAUCGUUUCAUCCAAUUUAAUUCAGUUAUCUAACAUAUUUUACAAAUAUUGUGAUGUUAGUUGUUACUUAAUCAAGUUCUUUUCUCUCUCAUCUUUUACAAGCUAAACAUUUUUUUAGCGUUUAUUUCCUAAAAUUGACGAAAAUAGUAUAACUAAGAUGAUUCUAAAAGUGUAAGUAUAUCAUUUGUUGUAUUUGACAAUGCAAUAAAAAAUACAAUAACAUAAUUAUCUUUUUUCCUAAAAAAAUUGGAUGUAAAUAUCCGGUACAUGAAAAAUUACCCUUUUUGAAGUAGCCAAAACACUUAAAAGAGGUGACUUUGGGUGGAUUAAAUAAUUUGAAGCAUAUGUGGAAGAGCAAUCGGUGGAUAGUGUUGAACUUUCCAAACCUUACAAAGGUGUCGAUUUUUAGAUGUGACCUUCUUGGGCACGUGUUCACUUGUUGCAUGGUUGGUAGUCUAUUGCAUCUCCAAGAGCUAAAAAUAAGUUACUGCCAGAGUAUGAAUGUGAUUGUGAAGCAAGUUGAAGAUUCCGAGACCAGACCGACUACUGAGGUUGUGUUCCCUUGUCUGAAAUCCAUAAGACUUCACAACCUUCCAAAUCUCAUGGCAUUUUUCCUGGGGAAGGAGGCUUUUAAAUGGCCAUUAUUAGAUACUUUGGAAAUCAAAAAUUGUCCAAAAAUAACAGUUUUCACAAAUGGGCAAUCAACUACUCCAGAGCUGAAGUUAAUAGAUACAACUUUUGGAUUGUGUCAUGCAACGGAAGACCCAAACUCUUUUAUAAAGACCAAACAACAAGAGGUACGUGGUGUCUCCUUUGGUUAUUAUUAACAGAUUAAUAUGUUUGAUCGAACAAAACGUUUACUUUACUCUCGAAUUUACAACUUGUUGUAAUCUCCUAAAGGGAUGGGAGUUCUAGAGCAACAUCAAAUUUACACGUGUGGUUUGGUUCGUUUUGAAGUUAGCUAUAUAGCACAGGUAAGAUUACAUCGUACACUUAUUUCCUUCUUCCCAAUCAUGUACAUGUUUCUCCACCUUAGUUAUCUGAUCAUUGAAUUGACUUUUUGUCACAGUUGCUUGCUUACUACUCUUUCAUUUCGGGUUAUUGAACUUCUAUUUUCAAGUAAUCUUAUCUGUGAUGUGUCCACUUCUUGUAUUUAAUUAAGCUGUGACCAACUUAGCAAUAAUUACACAAGUUUUUAUUAAUUGGUCUGUACAUGUUCCACUAUUUUAAAUAGUAAAUAAAUUCAGUGGUUGAAGGUGCAUAGAAUGAUAAUCCAUCAUACAUGAAACUUUCUUAGCUCACACCAGGUAAGAAAGAAAAAAAAAUGAAGCUAAUUUGCUAGAACAUAAAACUUCUCUUAAUUCGACAGAUCUGUGCUCUUAAUUUUUAUGAACGCCCGGUGUUUGAUAAAAUUCUUCAAUGAAAAAAGACCCAUAAACUUUUGGCUCCUUUUUUAAGUCAAGUGUAUUAAUGUUUGUUUUGUAUAUGAGCACUUAAAUUUUGAGGAAGCGACUCCAUUUCUCUCUUGUAAGUUGAGUGUGUCAGUGUCACCCAUAUAAAAGCUUUGUUUUUCAAUCUCUGAAAUAAAAAGAAUAAAAUUUGGUUACAAAUAUCUUAUGUUCAGUGCCGGUUUCCAUCGCCAGCUUCAAUGAAUCUAUCUCAUGAUGAUUUUGAAUUAACAAUUGUUCACUAAACCUAGAUAAGUUACAAUUAUGCCCAUGACUAUGAGCCAUCCAUUGAUUAUUUUAAACCUAUUGAGAAACAGAACACUUAUGCAUAUUAUCUGAUUUUUGAUGCAUCUGAGGUUUAACAUUUUUUUUUAUAAUCAAAUUUAGGUUGAUAUUGGAGUUGCCAUUUAUAAUCAAAUUUAGUUUGAUAUUGGUUGGUUGUUUGUGGAAUUCAUAUGUUUAUGGAAUUCAGUGUUAAAAGUAUAAAUCAACAAAAAUAGAGAAAAUCACGCUCAGAUUCUGAAAAUGCCACUUAAGUAGAAAUUAUUUGAAGAAAAAACAUUAUAUUUUCAUUCAUUGUUUAAUUUAUCUCUUUGUGCAUGUUUUUGUUGACAUACCAUUGUACCAUAUGAUAACAUGAAUUUUUUUUUAUGUGGUGGCUGGUUUAGUUGGAUUAAAAGACAUUACCUGUUAAGUUGAUUUUAUGUGGUGGCGGGCUUAGUUAGAAAUAUUUUAUGAAAAACACAUUAUAUUUCCAUUUCUUCAGCAUCUUCAAACCUUUGGUCAUUUCUUUGAAGUUGCAUAAUGAUCAAUGUUGCAUACUUUAUGUCAGUCGUAUAAAUUUGUAUUGAAAGUGAAACACUGUUGCAGAAUUUGUCUAAAAAAAAAAUUGGUGCAUAAACUGGUCCUAGAAUGAAACAUAGUUGAAUAAUGCAUAUUAUGUCUAAAAAAAUAUUUUGUUGCAUAAAUUGACUAACAUGUGCAAUCAAUGUACGUGGCUUAAACAUGUUAAACCAUAUGGUUAAAAAUGUAAUUCAUUCACUUUUCUUAGAAGCAUAUGGUUCCUAGUACAAAUAGAAUCCUAAUAGACAGAUGAAAAUAAAAUCAUAUUCCUAACCAUCAAACGGCUCCUAGGUGAUUACUUCUUCCCUUUGCUCGACUCAAACGGCUCUAGCUUCGGCCGCAAAGAGUUGACGUUUGAGAUUGGCUAUUUCUUUCUCAAGAGAGUGUAUGUAGUCUGUAUCACUUUCCUCAAUAGUGUAUGAGUCUGAUAGGGCUUCCGAUGGGUGGGGCUUACUAGGUGUAUCCUUAACGUCCUUUCCUUCAUCUGACUCCUGGUUAGAUUCGUCAUAUUUGUAAUCAGUUACCACGUACUCUUCCGGUUCCACUCUGGGUCCCACCUCCCAUUGCAGGGCCUCCUUCAGGGUUUUCUUCAGGAUUGUCAUCUAGACCCACAUCAAUCUCCCUAUAGACUACUAGAGCUUGAUAGUAGGGGUCGUCUUGCUGCAUUCCUGCCAUAUUGCCCGCAUGGGAAGUAUAGGUGUGAAAAGUGUGUGCAUUGGGGUGUAUAAGGAUAAUAUUCUUAAAAUAUUCCUACAAUGUUUAUUUUUCUUAAGUUUAGUUCCUCUAACCUAUUUGGAUAGUUAGAUGGUAAGCUUUCGGUUUAUUGACCAUCACGAUUAUUCCCAAACAUAUGUUGAUCGUACUUUGAAUGAAUGUAGUUAAUCAGGCUACAUUGAUCCCCAAUGCGAUUACAUAACUGCCCAUGUUAAAUCGCAAUGUUCAAAUCCCCCAAAGACUUUUAUUGUUUAGUAUCAUGCUAUUAUUCUAAAACACGCACAUAGGUAAGUAUUUUAUUUACUCUGUUCAGAGUUAUUUAGCCCCAUUAUGUUUAUAGUUGCAUAUCAUGUAUGCUUAGAUAUGUUAGUUCACUAUAAACAAAGCUCUGAUACCAACCUGUCACACCCCUGAACCAGACGACGGAAACGUCCGGGGGUCGUGUGACUUGAAUUGAAAUAUUAUCACAAUGAAUAUACAAGAAACAUAACAUAAACAUGACCAUGCAGUAAUACAUUACAACUGACCUUGUUCACAUCAAGUACAUUGUUUACAUUACAAUAUCACAGAGCAUAAAUUGUUUAACGAUUGACAUUUGCACAAAAGAAAUUUCAGAAACACGCUUGAUGAUUCUUCAUUCUAACGGUUACCUGAGAAUACAAGUUAUUUUGAAAACGGUCAACAUAUAUAAUGUUGGUGAGUUCAUAAACAUGUUUGAUAUAAAAAUAGUUUGUAUUUUUUGUAAAACCCAGAAAAUCUGAUAUUUCCUGUAACAAAACUGUUUACGAAAAAGAUGUGAUGAUCUCAUAAGUGUAUAUGUAUGUGAUUUCAAAACAUGUAAAAAUGAAUGUCUUUCAUAAUUGUUCCUUGUAUUGUACUUGUAUGUAGAAGUGAAUAAUGUCGUUCCCCGGAAAACCCGAUGUUUCCCAAUUUAAAUAGUAUGAUAGUUUUGUAUUAUUGUAUAAAUCACUUUGCAUCGUCACAGUGUAUGAAUAUGAUUUCCCAUGAGUACUUAAAUGGUAAUGGAUCUCUAUGUGAGUCGUUAUAACCAUACAUAAUAGUGACUAAUUCGUCUGUCUUGGCAUUUUUCCUAACGCCGGGUUUGAUCAAGAUUUUGUCACCCUAGACUGGCCGAGUCUAACUGUAGCGAACAACUUAGGUGUGGAGGAGUCACCCCUGUAUAGAUCUAUAGACAAACUCUCGCUCUCCCUCCAGAAGACUCUGAUUACAGGCUACGACCGACUCUUAUUGGUGCAACCCGUUAUUUCUCACUAAAUCCCAUGAAAUUGAAUAACCUUGUUUUACAAUCCGAAUGAUGUUUACGUGAAUAUGAAGUAAGCCUAACAGUCAUGAAAGAGGACAACGGUGGCCCACUAAUCAUGUAUGUUAUUAUAGGUUGUCGAGUAUGCGACGGACAUGUUAGCUCAUCAUGCAUAUGAUUGAUUUGGACCAUACUAGCAAUGCAACUGGGCCAUUAAGGCCCAAUAACAUGUAAAAGCCAUUGAUGGUCCAUUAGGCAUGUAAUUGGGUCACUGGAAUCCCAAUAAACAUGUAUUAUUUAUGUUGUUUACCCAUUUUGUAUGUUAAUAGUGUCGUAAGAUUUGUUUCACACGAAGCUUUUAAUCGUAAAGUUAUAACAUUCGUCAAUCGUUUUAUAACAAUAUUCUAAAUUUAUAAAAGCAUGCAUUUUUAAAUCCAUAAGAUAUAAAAUUUUAUAUUUUUGGCUCAAUUGUUUUAAUAAGAGCAUAUUUGACCCGAAAAUAUUUGUUUGACCAAUUCAGCUCAAUUUUCACAUAAUAUUACGAUUUCAGCCCUUUUUAACAAAAAUGACAUUUUUAGUCAUUUUUAAUGAAAAAUGACAUUUUAGGUUCUUAAAUUAUUUUUCUUGACAUUUUCGACCCAAAAACUAAUUAAAUAGUAAUUUCAGACCAGAAUAUAAUCACUGGGCAGUUUCAGCCCCUUAUUUGGAAAAUUUUGCAUUUAUGGUCCAAAUUUCCGCAAAUUUCACAAUCUUGGCCCAAAAUCCAAAAACUUUGCAUUUUUAGUCCAAUUUGGCAAUAAAAUCAUUUUCAACCCCCUGAAAUUUAGUUAUUUAUGUUUUAGACUCAUACUUUUAUGAAUUUACAAUUUCAGUCCCUAAAACUCUUCAUUUUCGCAAGUUUGGGCCCAAAGAUCCGUGAGGCCCAAAUAUAAGCCCAUUAAGUAGAAUUUUAUAUUUUUGGUCCUUUGAAAAGUAUUAUUUUCAUAAAAAUCAGCUUUUAAAUAAAUAAAUACUUUAUAACCCUCAUAAAACCAAAAAUUAUCAACUUUCAACCCAAUCUUUAUUAUUUUUGCAAAAAUGACACUUGUAAAGAUCUUUGGCUUUGUUUUUCACUUAUUAAACUUAAGGACUCUUAGAUCUAUGAUGUAUGUUGUUUAUUAUUUUUUGUUUAUGAAUAUUUCACAUUUUAGCUAUAGAUCCCAAAAUAUCUUAAGUAUUAACACAUUAUCACAACAAAAACCAAAGAAAUCAAAUAUAACAUGCAAACACACAUAGAUCAACACAUAACACUUGUAGUCUCCCCCCAAAAACAAGUAAAAACUGAAAACAAUGGGGUAUGAACUCACCUUGCUUAGUUUCUCACGGUUUUGAAGAAGAAAUGGAAGAGGUUGAUGUGAUUUUCGGCCCUAGUAAGCUUCUUGAGAGGACUUUGGUUUAGAUGGAUUCUAAGGAGUAGAUCACGAAUUUUGCAUGAAUUAGGAGGAGAUAUUUUGAUGUAAUAAAGAAACUAAGCCAUGGAUCUAAGUAACAACUUAGCAAGGAUGAUGAUUUUUAUGGAAAAACCUUCUUGAAAUGCCCUAGAUCUCGAAAUUUUUGAGAGGAAAUGAGGGGUUGUUGUUUUGAGUGUUUGAGAGAAAAUUCAAGUGAGGUGUGUGUGUGUUUUUCUUGUCUCUCGGCCGAAGGAAAGAAAAAGGGAAGAGGGAAAGAAAGAAUGGCAUGGAAACAUGAGAUCAUGCAUAGUUACAUGUUGUGUAAUAUGCUUAGAUGACCACUAAACAAUAAUGAGGUGGCUAGCACUCAUUAAUCUUCUUAGUUUCUCCUUUUUUGUAUUGGGCCGAAAUGGGCUAAAGAAAGAGGAAAGGAAUCACUUUGGCCCAUUCUUGGUCUUGCUCGAAAGUGUGAAGUCUCUAUACAAGUUUUCGGCCCAUUGGGCCUUUAGGGUAGUUCAUGGCCCAAUGAAAUCCAAUUAGAGAGGGUUUACGGUCCAAUAAGGAAUUUAAUUCACUUAUGGCCCAAUAAGGCCCAUUAGUGUAAAAUGAUCCAUUUUAGACCCAUAAGGCCCAAAAGGUUAAGUUUCAUGAAAGUGGGUCCAAUUAGGGCCUAUUUAAGGGUUCCAAGCCCAAAGUAGUCAAAUUGGAAGCUUAUUGGUCCAUUAGGCCCAAUAAGGAAAUCCUAGUCCAUAAUGGACUUAGGUCGUGAUUCUUAGGGUUUUCAAACCCUAACUUGACUUUGUAAUGUUUUGCAUGAUGUUUGGGCUUUAUAGUUGGAUUUUUAUGAAAGUUUGUUGUUAUUGAAUAACAUCAUAUGCAUAUCAAGUUAUGGUUACAAUUUGUUGUCAUUGAUAUUGUUUACAAAAGUAUAGAAUUUCCUAGCAAAUUUGCUAGUUGUGACAGAUACGACCCGUAUGGGUCGAUUUGGUCAAGUCUACCGACGCAGGAGAUAAGUUCUAGAUUGAUGUGGGAAUAAGUUUUAAUAUUCCUUUAGGAUUCAAGUUUCCUUUUUUACAGUUUCUUUUUAUUAAUGUAUUAGUUUUGGAUAUUGAUUAGGUUUUUUGUUAUUAAGGAUUUUUUUAGGUUUAGCUGGACAUUAUAAAUAAAGCACCUUAGGAACACAUUUUUCUUUAUGCAUGGAAUAAAAGUCUUUGACUGUUUUUUUCGUAGAAUUCCUUGUUUCUCGAAUCACAGGCGGGUCGACUAAGGUUCUUACCUUUGGGAAGUAUCUUAAUCUUAUUAAAGAUCUAUGUCAGAUGCUGUUAUUUCACCACCUGAAAUAUUAACAAAAAAAAUAAUAAAAAAGUUUCCAAUUACAACUAAAAAGUUUCACUGCCCCUCUCCCAAAACAGAAUCUAGACCUCAGGUAGCAAUGCGAGUGAAAAGAGUGACAACAAUACUAGUAUAACUUACACCGACUCCAAAGGUGAUUUGGAGACACAAAAUAGGUAUUUUAAACUUCUUUCAAUCAUUGAAUUAAAAAGAGUUAGUCACAAGAAUUGUCCUUGUGUUAUACCCAAAGUUGCAUAUUCAAUCCAACUUUUUUUUUUUUUUUUUUUUUUUCUGUUUCAUUUUGGUCCCUAACAUUGGUUUUUGUUUCUGAUUUAUCACUGGUCCUGUAAAAUGACAUGUAACAAUAGUUUAAAAAUAAACAAAUUAUAGAAAAUUUUACAUUUUUGUUCCUCGAGUAUGGCUGCUUUUUGCAAUUUUGGUCCUAAAAUGUUUUCUUUUGCAUUUUUGGUCCUUAUUUGACAUUCGUGUAAUGGUUUUGGUCCCGGUUCCAAAUUAAGUGACAAUUUUUUCUCUAUGGGUGUGAUUUUGCAAUUUCGAUCCCAAAAAUAGCCAUUUUACUAGGAACAAGGGCAAAAAACGUUAUAAAAAUCUUAAAUAAGGACCAAAUUAGCAUGACACCCUUUUGGGACCAAAAUUAAAAACAUCAACUAUACUCAGGGACCAAAAAUGCAAUGUACUUUAAAAAGAAACAUAUGAGGGUAGAAAAUUCAUUUUAUUGUAGAAGUUGAACUAAACCUGAAAUGUUGGGAAUAACAUAGAGACCAUUCUUGUAAUUACUCUAAAAAGAAUAGAAGUUGGUAACAAAUGUCUGCCUUAUGAUGGGUGCAAUCUUUCAUCGCCACCAUUAUGACGUUUUGGACUUUACCAUUGUUCAUGAAACCCCGAGAAAUGACUAUAAUGCCCUUGAUCAUGAGCCACCCAUUCUGAAGGAGACACCAAUCAAGAGCAGUUACCCUGCUACUCUUGAAUCUGUCUCUGAGUCAACCAUAAUCUAAUCAAAGUUUCCCACUCGUUCCUUUUCUUCCCCUUGUUCCACAUCAGCUUCUGAAUGCAUGAACACAACAACACCGCCUAAAUAACAACAAAUCCCUCAAAACAAUUCACAUAUAGAUUCAAGUGUCAAUUCCCAUUUUCAUAAAAGAAGAAAGUCUUCAGCUUUUGCAUCAGUCAAGAUGGCCCACUUUGAUUCCCCUGACCCUAAAACCAAAUUUCCAGUGAAAGAAACCAUGAAUCUUGGUGAUGAAACCAAGAAUGAUCUAAAAAUAUCGUGUUCACUAUGUGAAAAACCCACUGGGUCUUGCGGAAAAUGACUAUUAUGUCCCUUGUUCUUUGAUGUCGUUAUCAAAGGUGCAGUUGUUGUCAAGCUGGAAAGGGAGAGAAAAGGGUCUCACAAGUGUAGUUGUUGUGGUGUCUGACAUUGCAUGUGUUGAUGGGAGAAUUUGGAAAAGAAGUGGUGAUGAAGGAAUUUGGAGCAAAGAAGAUGGUUGUUUAUUUAGUACGGCUUUCUACCCUUUCUGUAGUGAUCAAGUCAAUUGCCUUGGGUUACAUGUUGUGGCAACUGAUUCCUCUAAUGUGCAGCUUUUAAACACGGUAUCAUAUCAAUUCAUACUAUUAUAAUAUCUUGUCGCAUAUCCAACUGAUAAUUAUUGAGGGCAUAUUGGUCAUUUUGUUGAUUUAUGUUUUGGGAGUUGGGAGUUGGGAUGUGAUGAAUAUGAUCACAAAAUAUCUUUGAUCCUUCAGAGAUAUACAACCAACUUAUAUAACUUUUCUAUAUGCAGGUGCUCUUUUAUUCUGAAAGACUAGAAAUCCAACAUAUCGAUACAUCAACAACAAAUAACCUAAUUUUGCAUACGUUUCAAAUCGAAAGUGACUCCCUAAAAACAUUUGCAACUUUUGUCUUAUUAAAUCAGGCACACAGUCCCAGUCCAAUACAUACCAAAUGCAAUACAACCUGUUUUUUCAUAUACCGUCAUGUGUAACAAAGGAUUUUAAUUGAAGGAAGUCUCACCUUCUAGUGUUACAAGUUUGAGUAAAGGCGUCUCACAAAAUCCGUUUGAGAAAUUUGCCUACACAUCUCCACAAACCAACUCGAUGGGCUGGAGAACCACAAUAUCUAAGGUCAAAAAUCUCUAAUAUCUUGUUAUUUAUAGAUUCAUUAAACGUAUUUUAAAUUCUAGUUAAAGUUAAACUAUGUUUGUUGAUCAUGCAUAUGAGAUUACCAAAGAAAGUCCAAGUAUCCACUACUGAAUAUUGAUGCCUAACCUUACAUGUAAAUUCUCAAUCAUUGCUAAAUUGGUUUUAAACCUAUUUGGGAAAUUUAGGAUCUAUGGUUAUUAUAUUAACUUCAUGAUACAUUUGAGGUGUAUGACCAAUAAAAUGUGACUAUUGUAGUUGUAACAUUCUUUAUGACCAGCCAUAGUUUUAAUUUUGUUGUUUAUAAUGUUGUUUUCCUGAUUUUGGACAUGUUAAAUAAUCAACUCUAAUACGUUUUAAUUAAAGAGAUAAUAUUUUGAUGUGGAAAGUUGGAAUGAUCAAAUGAUUAGUAUUUAGUAGGUUAAGUGUUUUUAAUGAUAAAUAAAAUAUUUUUUACUAUAAAAUAGCCAACAAGACCAUAAAAGUAAUAUUUUGCUAAACAUGAAAUUAUAUUUCACUAAUUCAACCAUUUAAACCCUCUUCCAAGAAAACCAAUGAGACCAUUAUGGACUAUGAAAAAGAGAAUACGGAAAUGAUAGAUGUUGAAAUGAUGAAAGAAAUAUCUUACUUAAAUUUGUAUCACUCUUUAUUGUCUAAUCAUUUCAUAUUUUCCUAUUUGUUUUUCAUUUUUCAUUAGGUUUCAUGAUUUUUGUAGAUGGUGGUUUCUGAUAGUGAGGUCACAGAUUAAAUUUAUGUAAAUUUGUGCGUUCAAAUGUUAAAGGUCAUUCGAACGUAUUUGCUAUUGAUAUUUGAUUAUUUUUACUAUUAUUAAUUUGGCUCAAACGGAAAAGGACAACUCUUUGCAGUUAGAUAAAAAAAAAAUUGUGAUCGAAUUUACUUUGACUGCAUUGGUAAAAUAUGAAACAAUUAAAGAAGUUUGCAAUCACGUGGACAUAUUGCAUACUCAAGUGGUACCGGUUAGAGUCAUAUAUUCAAACACUUCAAUCUAAUACCAUGAGGGGAUAAUGACUUGGGAGGGUAAUAAGGUUUCCAGCUUGUCCGUAUUAGGUCACUAAGGUUUUUUUUGUGCGUAUUAGACCAAUAUGGUUGUUAUUACCGUUUAGAAAUAGUCCUUUUACCGGUUUUAAUGGGUAAAAAGGACAAUUUCUAAACGGUAAUAGCAACCAUAUUGGUCUAAUACGCACAAAAAAACCUUAGUGACCUAAUACGGACAAACUGGAAACCUUAUUGCCCUCCUAAGUCAUUAACCCUAAUUAUUUAGAAAACAUGCUUACUAAUCAAUGUGACUGAUUUGUUUGACUGAAAAUUUUGCUUCCAUUUAAACUUAUCUCACAACCCUUCCAGAACUUCUACGUCCAGAAACUCAUAUGAUUGAUGAUCUUCAUUACAUAAAUAUGCAACAUUUUAUCAAUAACUUCUUUUUUGUCAUUUAAAUGUUUACAUGAACACAUCCAUAUGUACAAAAACAAAAUAUCACUUUGAUACCUACCAUCAAUGUCUACAUUUGAUAACGAAUGGAAAUGUAAAACCAACAGGGACUUGCAAAUGAUGCCUAUUAUCAAUUAUUUUAUAAAAAGCAAAACCACAACAUGAACUAAGAAAUUGAAGUUGCAAAAUUAAUCAAAAUCAGCACAUAAACAAACACAUACAGACUAUAUACAACACAUAACGGAAGUUUANCUUAAUGAUAGGAAAAGUAAAAAACUUAAAGGAGACUUUAUAGAAAGAAAGAUCACUCUUACUUGCCACAAAUGGUUGAAGACAUCAACAAGAAGAUCAAUCUGACCAUAGAAUCCACAUGUUGUCUGAUUAUGAAUUCAGUAGAUGAACUACUGAAACGUAAGAAUUGCAAUUCAACUCUAUUAGCAUUUGAAAAGGGAAUUAGGGUUAAAAAAAAAUUGGACCAUUUCUUGAUUUGUGUGUGUCAUCCUUGCGCAGGGGCCAUGCAAAUCUUCCAUGUAUCGUUCCAAUUUUAUUGGAUGUCCCCAAAGGGACGACUAUAGAUGAAGAGCUUCGCCAUAUAGAGGAGUAGCAGGUUAUAUGGGACGACGCGAGUUCUAAACGAAGUAGUUUACUAUUGAUGGUCAUAUAUUCUUAAUGUCUUUAAAAUUAGUGUUAAUGACUUAGGAGGGUAAUAAGGUUUUCAGUUUGUCCGUAUUGGGUUACUAAGGCUUUUUUUUUUGUGCGUAUUAGACCAAUAUGGUUGUUAUUACCGUUUAGAAAUAAUCCUUUUUACCCAUUAAAACCGGUAAAAGGACUAUUUGUAAACGGCAAUAACAACCAUAUUGGUCUAAUACGCACAAAAAAAACCUUAGUGACCUAAUACGGACAAACUGGAAACCUUAUUACCCUCCCAAGUCAUUAUCCCUACCAUGAGUGUCCAAAAUUUUUUCUCAUUAUUUUUUCUCAUUAUUUUAAACCAUUUAAUUUAAUAUGAUAUGGUUUUUUAAAACACAUGUUUUAGUUGUUAAAUUAAAUUAUUACGUAAGCUUUUUCAAAUAUUAGACCAACUAAUAAUCAUCCCACUAAAUACAAUUAUUUUGAAAUUUUUUACAAAUUCUCUUUUUCUUUUUUGCAAAGGGAUGCCCAAAAUUAGGGGUGAUAUAUAUGUGGUGUAAAUGAAAUAUCACAUAUUAGGGAAUAUGAUUUAUCAAGGUAAUUAACUUUUCGGUAUGUUCACAUCUGGGUAACUAUCUUUUUUUUGUACAUAUGUAGGUAACAAACUUUUUGGAAGUGUUCACAUAUGACCAUUAUGACCUGCUAUAGCAGGUUAAAUCCUAGAUGUGAACGCUUUCAACAAGUUUGUUACCUAGAUGUGUACAAAAAAAAUAGUUACCCAAAUAUGAACAAAACGAAAAGUAAAAAUUAAAUUACAUGAAUGGUCCCUGUGGUUUGGGGAAUUUGUGGUUUUGGUCGCUAACUUAUUUUUUUUUAACUGAAAUGGUCCCUACUGUUUAUUUUUGUUGCGCGUUUGGUCCCCAUCUUACCUAAAAAUACUAUUGUGCCCUUAUUAAUUUAUUUUUUUAAUUAAUAUUCUUAUCUAUGUAUUUAUUUUUUACAUAUUCAAAAAAAUUAAUAGACCACACAUAUUUGUAUCUCCUCCCCAUUAUCUAUUUCUUUUCCAUCUUUAGUAACAUCGAUGUCUUCACCGUCCUUUUUUUUUGGUACUUCAACUCUGGCGAACCAACACCAUAACCUACUGUCUCUUCAUCUUUAGUGGGUUGUGGUGCUGAUUCGACGGAGUUGAAGGACCGAAAAAAGAAGUGAUGAUGAAGACGUCGAUAUCACUAAAGAUGAAAAAUAAAUAGAAGUUGAGAAGGAUGAAAGAUGGGAUGGUGAUGAGAUACAGAUAUGUGAGGUCUACUAAUUUUUCUUAAACAUAUAAAGCAUAAGUACAUAAACAAGAAAAUUAAUUAAAAAAAAUACCAAGGCAACAAUAGUCUUUUUAGGUAAGACAGAGACCAAGUUCAUAACAAAAUUAAAUAGUAGGGACCAUCCGAGUUAAAAAAUUAAAUUAAUUAAAAAAUAAAUAGUGGGGAUCAUCCGAGGAGAUACAAAUAUGUGUGGUUUUUUUUUUUUUUUUUAAAUAUGUAAAAAAUAAAUACAUAGAUAAGAAAAUAAAUUAAAAAAAUAAAUUAAUAAGGGCACAAAAGUAUUUUUAGGUAAAACGGUGAUCAAACACGCAACAAAAGUAAACAGUAGGGACCAUUUAAGUUAAAAAAAAAUAAGUUAGCGACCAAAACCACAAAUUCCCCCAAACCACAGGGACCAUUCAUGUAAUUUAAUUUUUACUUUUCGUUUGUUCAUAUUUGGGUAACUAUUUUUUUUUGUACACAUCUAGGUAACAAACUUAUUGAAAACGUUCACAUCUAGGAUUUAACCUGCUAUAACAGGUCAUAAUGGUCAUAUGUGAACACUUCCAAAAAGUUUGUUACCUACAUAUGUACAAAAAAAAGAUAGUUACCCAGAUGUGAACAUACCGAGAAGUUAAUUACCUUGAUAAGUCAUAUUCCCAACAUAUUAAGGUGGGGUAGGGAUCCGACAUUGUAUCGUGCUUCAAUAGAAACCGGUGGGACCUUUGACUGUUAGUGUAUUACUUGUGCUAUACUCUGUAGUAUGUUAGGCAAUGCUCUUAGUACCUAGAUUAUGACUGUUGACUGCAUUAUUUCCAUCCAUCCAAUACCAUGGUAUUUGCAGGUCAACAGCAAUAAUUGAGGCUUGUUCAUACUUCAAUAUAUUGGCCUUCUUCUUCACAAUUCCAACCAGUUGUACACAUACGCACUUUACAAAGCAGCAAAAACAGCAAGCAUUAGCACAGGCGCAUAUAGUAGAAGAGGUAUGUUUUUGUUGAAAGUUUUUCUCUUUGUUUAUGAAUAAUUUUUCUUAGUUGUUUUUUGUUUUCAAUCUAUCGAAUAUCGAUCCUUGACGAAAUUAUCUGAAAAAAAAUGUUUUGCGUUGUUACUUGUGGAUUGUUCGUGUAUGCUCCACAUAUAAAAUCAAGUAAACGUUUAAAUGAAUGACAGUGCCUCCUCAUUUCCCUCUUUUGAUUAUUGAACAAUGUUUUGGGGGAAUGUUUUUUUUAGGACAGAUGCUUCCACGUAGAGAUCAGUUCUAGCCCUAAUAUCACUGUAGGACUCUGUUUACAACUAAUAAACCCCUAAUUAAAAGGCACGGUAUUUUGUUCCUCAUCUCUCACAAUCUAUUCCCACUUUCAAUAAGAUGUUGAAAUUAACAAUCUAUUCCCACUUUCAAUCAUUUCAAAGAAAACCAAGGUUAAGUUGACAAGGGAAGACAAACAGCAAAAUUAACUAUGAAUUUACAUACACAUUAAUUUACCAACUAUCAAUUCUAUUCUAGCCAAACUUAUUAUGUGUCCUGAAUCCUGAAGGAAACUUUUUAUAACACUAAUUAUCUAUGGAUUGUAUAUGAUAAUUGAAAAAAGAUAGCUAAGCAAGUUAAUAAGUAAUAAGUUUUAACAAUUUCAUUGCCUUUUUUAUCUGUUACAGGUCUCUGUAAAAGCUAGAAUAUUGAAAGAUGGAGCUUGUAUCUGCAAUCAUUAGUCCUAUUGUUGAAUCUUUAAUUGCUCCUGUCAAGAAACAACUGGGAUAUCUCUUUUCAUCCACGAAUCAUGUUAGGAACAUGAAUACUAAAAUAAAGCUACUGGAUGAUACAAGCCGUGAUGUCAAAAAACACAUGGAAACAAACAAUAGAAGUAAUCUGGAGAUACCUACUCAUGUAACGGGGUGGUUGGAAGAAGUUGAAAAGACUAAAGAAAAAGCUCAAAGCAUUCCAAGUAUUGGGAGCGGAUGUUGUAACUUGAAAAUGAGGUAUCUAGUUGGAAAGAAGGCAUUCAAGACUACGGAGGAGAUGGAAAGUCUUAUUGAUGAAAAUAGUAAGAUAAUUUGGACAAAUGCUCAAAGACCUCUUGGGAAAGUGAACUCAGAAAUCGCAUCCAGUUCUGCACCUUCGGAUGGUGAUGCCCAAAAUCACUUCAAAUCAAGAGAGAAGUCUUUUAAGAACGCCUUGGAGUCCCUCCAACAAGAUCACAAGAGCAAAGUGAUAGCCCUAUGUGGAAUGGGUGGUGUGGGGAAAACCACCAUGAUGGAGCAACUGAAAAAGGCUGCAGAAGAUAAGAAAAUGUUUGAUUAUGUUGUGAAGGUGGUUAUUGGGCAACAAAUUAACAUGCUUUCUAUUCAGCAAGAUGUGGCAGUGUAUAUGAUGGGCCAGUCCCUCAUUGAACUGAGUAAAGAAGCUAGAGCAGAUCGUCUUCGUAUAACAUUUGGAAACCUUCUAGAAGGUAGAAGAAAGGUUUUACUAAUACUAGAUGAUGUAUGGGAAACGAUUGACCUCAAAGAUAUUGGAUUGAGUCCUUUGCCCAACGGCUUCAAGUUGUUGCUGACAUCACGAAAUGAAAAUAUUUGCAAACAAAUUGCAGUAGAAGCCAAUUCGGAGUCAACACUAGUUCGAGUGGAUGUGAUGGAAGAGCCUGAAGCAUGUAGUUUCUUUUGGCAAAUUAUAGGUGUUUCAAAACAAUAUGAUAAGGAUCUCAAACAAAUAGGAAGUGAGAUCGUGAGAAGAUGUGGUUUUUUGCCCCUUGCCAUUAAACUCAUCGCCAAAACCCUUCAAUUUCAAGAAGUUUUUGUAUGGAGAGAUACUUUUCAACGGUUGAAGAAGAAGAAUCUUGAUGAGAAUGUGCAAGAAGUUAUUAAGAUAAGCUAUGAUUAUAUAAAAACAGAGGAGGAAAAGGUGAUUUUUCUUCUGUGUGGCUUGUUUCCUGAUGACUUUAAUAUCCCAAUUGAGGAACUCACAAGAUAUGCAUGGGGCCUACAGUUAUUAAGUGAAGUAUCCACUUUGGGAGAGGCUAGAGACAGGACAAAAAUGUGUGUGCAGAAUCUUAGAAAUGCAAAUUUGUUGAUGGAUAGCGAUUGCAUUGGGUGUGUCAAAAUGCAUGAUCUUGUGCUUGCUUUUGUCAUAAAUACAGUUUCUAAAGGUCAUCAUCCAUGGAUAAUCAACCAUGGUGAUAUUUCAAAGUGGAGUAGAGCUGAAGUGAGAGAGUCUUGCAAAAGACUUUCUAUUACUUGCACAGGAAUGUCUGAGUUUCCUGGUGACUCUAAGUACCCAAACCUAUCACUUUUGAGACUUAUGGAUGGAGAUAAGUCACUUAAGUUUCCUGAAGGUUUUUAUGAAAAAAUGGAAAAUCUUGAAGUUGUAGCAUAUGAAAAAAUGCAGUAUCCGUUGCUUCCCAGAUCACUUGAAUGCUCCACCAAGCUCCAAACACUCAUUCUCCAUCAAUGCCUAUUGAUGUUUGAUUUCUCUGUUAUUGGUGAACUCAUGAAUCUGGAAGUGCUCAGUUUUGCUCAUUGUGGCAUCAGAAAGUUACCAUCCACAAUUGGAAAUUUGAAGAAGCUAAAGCUAUUGGAUUUGACGGGGUGUGUAAAUCUUCGUAUUGAUGAUGGUGUAUUGUUAAAUUUGGUCAAGCUUGAAGAGCUUUAUAUGAGAGUUGAUGAUAGAAAGGCAAUUAGGUUCACAGACAGCAAUCGUGUUGAAUUAGCAGAGCUUUCAAAUCAUCUUUCUGCAUUAGAAGUUGAGUUCUUUGACAACAAUGGUACGCCCAAGAAUAUGCUGUUUACUGAACUUAAAAGGUUUAGAAUCUCUAUGGGAUGUGGUUUAGGAGACAAUACUCACAAAAAUAUGCACUCAUUUGAAAACACAUUGAGGUUGGUCACUAACAAAGAUGAGCUGUUGGAAUCUACAAUGAAUGAGUUGUUUGAGAAAACCGAGGUGCUUUAUUUGGAGGUGGAUGGUAUGAACGAUCUUGAAGAAGUUUUAAUGGAAUCAGUUCAUCUCCCUCAGCAAGCGUUUAAUAAUCUAAGAGUCCUUGAUGUGUUCAAGUGUGAAAACUUGAGGUACCUCUUCACAGUCCCUAUUGCAAAUGGUUUGGUGAAGCUUGAGCGCCUCACAGUUUCAGAGUGCUCUGUUCUUGAAGUACUUGCACAUGGUGAAAAUGGUGGAGCUGAGAAAAUUAAGUUUCAGGGGCUAAAGUUUCUAGGAUUGGAUAGGCUACCAAAGCUGAUAGGUCUUUGCAACACUGCUAAUGUAAUUGAGCUACCACAGCUGGUGGAGUUGGAACUUGAUGGCCUUCCUAACUUCAAUAGCAUUUAUCCAAAGAAAACAUCUGCAACAUCUUCUAUGUCCAGUAAUGACUCUGCAAUUCAACCAUUAUUUAACAAACAGGUACCUCUAUAUUAGGAUUUAUGUUGACAGUUUCAUAGAUUGACUUAUAAUCAACAAGUCUUAAUUGUUGUGCAGGUGCUGAUUCCUAAGUUGGAGAAAUUGAGGAUUUGGAGGAUGGAUAAGCUGAAAGAGAUAUGGCCUUAUCAAGUUAUAAGUAGCAAAGACGUUGAUGCCUGCGUGUUGAGAAAGAUUGAAGUGAGGGGAUGUGAUAAUCUUGUGAAUCUGUUUCCAACCAAUCCCAUGUCUUUGCUGGGUUGUCUGGAAGUGCUUGAUGUUUCUAAUUGUGGAAACAUUGAAGUGUUAUUUAACAUCGACAUGAGUUGUGUUGGUGAAAUUGAAGAACACAGUAGCAACUUGAGACAAAUUGAAGUAUCUAAUUUGGAGAAGCUAAGAGAGUUGUGGAGGAUGAAAGGUGAAAGUAGCUCUGAUAUCCUCAUCCGUACCUUUCAAGCUGUUGAAAGUAUAGAAAUAGAAGAGUGCAAGAGGUUUGUAAACGUAUUCACACCGACCGUCACCAAUUCUGAUGUGAAAACAGUUAUGAAUGUGAGUAUAGAUGGAAGGAGACCUUCUGAAGAAACCAGGAGCAACAUUGAAUUGGUUCAGAACAGCCAGGAGGUAUGUGAUGUCAUUGAGCUUUCAAUUUCUCUUUUGAUGUUAACAACUUAUGUAUAUGUGUCUCUAUACAUACAUACACGUAUAUAACAUAUCACACUACAACAAAUCAAUCAAUUCUACACAAUUCUUUCGAUGUGUUCUGCUAGAUUCUCACUCUUGAAUUUCAAUCACACAAGGAUGGAAAGGAGAAAUACAAGAAAUUAUAGAUCUCACACUGGAAAUUGAUGAUCUAAUGAUCAAUUUUACAUACAUGUGAUAGAAAUCUGGCGGUUUGAGUUGCCAAGAUCUCCCAAAGCGACUAAUCUCUAAAAUAAUUGAUAAGAUGUCUCUCCUAACUGAUCUCUUACAAUAUAAAGGCAUAACUGAAAUAGUUAAUUUACUUAUUUACCCGUGCUGCCCACAAUUGCUUACUCAUGGUUUAAAUCCUUUCUUGCCUCUUUGUGAAUAAGUAAGAAUUGGUUUAUUUCCCUUCUUGCCCCUCCUUGAAUAUGUGAACAUGAGUUAUAUUUAUUUGUAAUUAUAUUUGUUGUUGAGAUAUGUGCAGAUUAAUGUAAUAUCCAAGGAAGAGAUCAUUUCAGAGGUGGAUGGUAAUAUUCCUGACGUUGAAUCCUCAAUUCAUCCCAAACCUUUUAACGUUAAUCACCUUCAAGUACUUGGCUGUAAGGAUGUUGAAGUGGUGUUUGAGAUAGAGAGUUCCAGUAACAGCAACAGCACCACAGAUUUCACAACAAGUCUGCAUAAAUAUAAUCAUCAACCACCACCACUACUACUUCCCCACCUCAAGUCUUUAUAUUUAAUAAAUAUGGAGAGGAUGAGUGAUGUGUGGAAGUGCAAUUGGAAGAAACUUGUAAUUCAUCAAAACCAAUCACAAUCCUACUCAUUCCACAACCUCACAAUCAUACACAUGGAAAAGUGUCAUACCAUAAAGUACUUAUUUUCACCUGUCAUGGGCAAACUUCUUCCCAACUUAAAGGAUGUCUGGAUACAUGAGUGUGAUGGUAUUGAAGAAGUUGUUUCAAAUAGAGAUAUUAAUGAUGAAAAUGAAGAAAUAAUAUCUUCUACUCACACAAACACCAUCUCCUCCUUCCCUCUUCUUGAUUCUCUCUACCUUUUUAAUCUGCCAAGCCUAAAGAGUAUCGAUGGCGGUACUACAAUCACAACUACUUCCAUCCAUGAUCAGUUCCAGGUAUAUUUGAUUUCUUUUAAGCGAAUCCUUUACAUAUUUCAGUUAUUUGUUUUAUUUAAAUAUAUAUUUAUUUUUAAUAUUCUAUUUUCCAUUAGCUGCUUUAUAUAACUCCCUAAGCUAAUUCUUCUGAAGCUGGAAAGACAAAAAUAAAUAACUACAUGCAUAGUAUUUAAUAGUUUUUUCAUUUGCGUAGGUCAUUAAGUUGAUUUAGGAUAAGACCGGAUUGUCAGGGAGAGAAAAAAAUUGAUUGAUGGAUGUAUAUAAGUCAUAUGAAAAAUAGAAAAAAAAUGAUUUUAUUGAUGCUUUUUUUUGUUCUGUUUUUUUUUUUUUUUUUUUUUUUUUUUGUUUUGUUUUGUUUUGUUUCCUAGCAUGCUAGUUUGGCUUAGUAAAAUUCGGUUUGUUGUUUAAGAGAAAUAUCUUUUUUGCUGACAUUGAACAAAACAAUAUGAAACUUUAUGUAGCUGUAUCUAAUGUGCCAACUGAAAAUAUAUAAAUACAAUAUGUGACAAUAGGCUCCUGUUUACAAUUUCUUUUGUACCAGAAAAGUGUGCUAUUCAAAAUAUUAACUUUAAGACAUUGAACUAUUAUAGAGUCAAAUGUCAAUGUUGUCAAUUUUGGAAAUAUCUCUAGAUCUUAAUUUAUCAAGUAUAAUUAGCCAACUUUUUACUGAAAAGGACUCCCUUGAAAAAAAUCUUUGUUCUAAAAAUGCUUUCGAUCUAUUUAGCAUAUUAGAAUUAAGAUAGAUUUUAUAAAAAUACAAUUAAUGAAAAUUUAUAGAUGUAUAAUAAAUUAACAUGAAGAAGAUGAUGCAUGUAUAAUAAUUUAACCGUUCAUGUUAGUAAAAUUAUUUAAAACAUGAAGAAGAUGAUGCAUGUAAUCAAUGCAGGUAUGGAAAUAUAAGCAUAUUGAUUGCAAACUCAUUUCCUAAUAAUAAAUAAAUUUAGAAGUACAAUUAUGUUUUCAUUUUCUCACAUUGAGGGGGUAAUGGGUUAUAUAGUCCAAUGAUAUUUGUUUUCUCUUCAUAAAUCAUGGCACUAUAAUAAUUUUGAAUGGGGCCAUAUACAGAAAACCAUUAUAUUUUAGUCAUUUUUUUCUGUUCAACAUAUUUUCAUUUACUUUCUUAUUAUAGCAUCAUACUUUCAUUUCUUCCAGUUAUAGCAUCAUACUUUGAAAAAUAUACCCAAUUACACAUGGCUACAAUGGCUUGAUAAGAAAAGUUGAAAGUAGAAUGCUAUAAAUGGGUGGAUUUUGAAAGUACCUAUAUGCUGGUCUUGGGUCAUUUAUUAAAGGCUAAAAUGCUAGAAAUAGCAAUUUACUUUCAUCGAUUUGCUUAUCAGAGCAUCAUACUUUCUCUUUUUCCUAUUAAAGCAUUGUAGUUUAAGAAACCCACCCAAUUAUAGCAGUGUCAUCUAAAUACAAUGGAUUUCUGUUGCUGUAAUANNNNNNNNNNNNNNNNNNNNNNNNNNAGCAUAUUCAUAUAUAUAAAUAUAUAUAUAUAUAUAUAUAUAUAUAUAUAUAUAUAUAUGUUGAUUAAUUGCUAAUAAAAGUACUUCAAAGUCUGUUCAUUUUCAAGUUUUAAUUUGAAUAAAUGCUAAUUAAUUGUGUUAAUUAGCACCCUGGCAGUUUUGUUUUUUCUUGUUUCUAUUUUCUUUUUUGUAGCUGUUCAAAAUCUCCUGUAAGCCUAUAUAAUUAAGGCCCCUUUUAUGAUUGAUUUAGUGUACCUUUUCUUUCAUCCACCAUCUACUUGUUCUCUCUUGCCAACAAUAUAAAGCAUAGCAUACAACUGUUUUCUUGUUUUUCGUUAUUUGGCUAUACAUAUAACAAGGGUAUUUUGGUCAUUUGACAAACCGUCUUCCUUAAUGGAGUGGAGUCCAAACACCACAGUCUGAUUUCUCUUAAUUCAAAUUUUCACCAUAAAAUCCAACAUGAACUUUGUCUUUUAAACAAUUUGAAUCCUUCAAAAAUAGGCCCAGAUUUUGUGGCCUAGGUGGUCUUCUAUAAUAAACGAAUAAUUGGAAAUGCGGUGCUAUUUCUUGCAUUUAGCCCUUCUUCAAUACAAACAAGUAAAGUUCAUAGUUACAAAAUUUUGCAUAUUUUAUGGUUUAUAUUAUGCUUUUAUGUGUUUAUAGACGUGUUCCUGCAGACAUGUGUGAAAUAUAUAUGUUGAUUAAUUACUAAUCAAAGUACUUCAAAGUCUCUUCAGUUUCGAGUUUUAAUUUGAAUAAAUGCUAAUUAGUUGUGUUAAUUAGCACCCUGGCAGUUUUGUUUUUUCUUGUUUCUAUUUCCUUUUUUCUAGCUGUUCAUAUUCUCGUAUUAGCCUGUAUAAGGCCACUUUUAUGAUUGAUUUAGUGUACCUUUUCUUUCAUCCACCAUCUACUUGUUCUCUCUUGCCAACAAUAUAAGGCAUAGCAUACAACUGAUUUCUCGUUUUUAGUUAUUCGGUUAUAUAUAACAAGGGUAUUUUGGUCAUUUGACAAACCUUCUUCCUUAAUGGAGUGUCCAAAAACCACGAUCUGAUUUCUCUUAAUUCAUUUUUUCACCAUAAAAUCUAACAUGAACUUUGUCUUGUAAACCAUUUGAAUCUUUCACAUGUAGGCCCAGAUUUUGUGGCCUAGGUGGUCUUCUAUGUUUAUGCUGAUUCUGUGUCUUUCAGAAGUAUGCUUCUUAUGAUCCUUCCACUCUCUUCAUGUCGUUGAUUCUGUCUGUCACCAUCAGAACCUCAUAAAAGUUUCUGCUGAGGUGUCAUGCCAGUGGUGACCUGGAAUUUGUGAAAAGUCUAAUGCCAUUUAUUUUCUCUUCAUAAAUCAUGGCACUCUACUUCAGCUUGCCUUAUGAAAUCCACCCAAGUUUGGAGAAAUGUUCUAUGCUGACCACUUUGACCUGCUAUAGCAGGUUAAAGUGGUCACAAUAGAAAAUUUUGUCAAAGUUGAGUGGCUUUAGUGAAAUUAAGUGGACUAAACUUUGACAACCUUUUCAAUUAUGACCACUUUAACCUGCUAUAGUAGGUCAAAUUUGUCGAUAUAGAAAGAAAUUUCAAACUUGGGUAGGUUUGAUGAGCUAAAACUGAAAUGGAAUUGUUAAACUGCAAAAAAAUGGCCGAGAUAUAUUGCCCUUUUGUAGUUCAACUUACAUUGUCGACGUUACUGAACUACCUUAGUUUUGGGAAGCACUUGUGCAUGUACAUAGCAAACAGCUAAGCUUUGUUAAUUUAAAUAGAUCCAUUGAUUUUUCAUGUGUUGUUGUAGUGUUCUCAAGUCGGUGUUGCUUCUUGGUUCUUAUGCCAAUACUCCAAACACAUACAUAUAUGGAAUUGUCCUGCCCUAUCAAGAGUGUUUCCAUCCAAUGUAGUGGGACAACUGAAUAAGCUUGAAGUGUUGAGCAUAUCAGAUUGCAAGUCAAUGGUGGAGAUAUUUGAAAGUAAAGAAAUAAACAAAGAUGGUGUUGAUAGUACUACGAAUGUUGGUGAUGGAAGUGAUGAUACUUGUACUGCAAUCACCAUCCCAAGGUCGGCUAAUAUGACUCUGCUUCAAUUGUCCAACCUAACGAUAUUGAGAAUCUAUGACUGUGAAGUAUUGGAAUAUAUAUUCACAAGUUCCACACUUGAAAGCCUCAAGCAACUCAAAGAACUGAUGGUAGUUAAAUGCAAGGCAAUGAAAGUGAUUGUGAAGGAAGACGGAGAUUUACCAGAACUCAAGGGUUUCUUCCGUCGUCUCAAGUCCCUUACACUUGUAGAUUUACCAGAUCUGAAGGGUUUCUUCUUGGGGAAGAAUGAGUUCAGGUGGAAAGCAUUGGAAAAGGUUAAGAUUUAUGGCUGCCCACAAAUGAUGAAUUUCACAUCUGGUCACUCCAUGACUCCGAAGCUCAACUACAUACAUACAGGAUUAGGCAAGCAUAGUCUUGAAUGUGGCCUCAACUUCAAUUUGACCAAUGUUACACAAGAGGUAUGUUGUUACUUUACUUCAUCAUUUAACCAGAUGAUCAGCAUGUUGUUUUAUGAUGUUCAACAUAUUAUUUGCUUACAAAUUUAGAUGGUUCAUAUGCAAAACAUAGUAUUUGCUUACACUAUGGGGGGUUUUUCCAGGUCGGUUCAUAUGUGUAUUCCGGAAGAAACACAAAACAAAACCAAAUGAAGAUACAUAUAUAACCACUUCCCAUCUUUUGUAUCUAUAAAAAGUUACGAAAAUAUGCAAUUUUUUUUAUUAUAAGUUAAUAUUUCAUUCCUAAGAUAUUAAGUGGUCUCUUAUGUUAUAAAAGAUGUUAUAUUCACUAAUUCAUAAGUUAGCAAUUUAAUAUUUUAAUCAAGUUAGAUGAAGUAAAGACAAAAGGCCCAAUUGACAUAUUCACUGAGGGUGGUUUUUUCCAUGUCUAAAGAUUUUUGAACAUAUACUAUACUAGUUUCCGUUUGAUCAGAAUCAGAUCAACAACCCCUUCUUCUUUACAGUGUCCCUAUUGUAACCACAAAAAUCAACAAAUACAGGGACCAAAUUUGCAGUUUUCGCUAAAACGUAUUUUAAUUUGACAAAAAAAUUGAUCGGUUUGUAGAAAAACAAAGUAUUCAAUUAAAGGAAUAACAAAAUAAGCACCUAAGAAAAAGUGCUUCUAAAAUUCACAAAAUAUUUACGUUCCUUAAAAAUACAAGACUUAAGAAUUUAUAUCAAAUAUAUGAACAUAAAAAAUUAUUUUCUUGUGUAUUACAAAUGAUACUUGGCAAGUUCAUUCUUAUUCAAAUCAUUUGUAAAUUUCAUAGAAUGUGAUCGUUUGGUACCUGACAUAAAUCAUUUAUUAGGAACUUAGAACUAACAUCUUCAUUCGGUUAAGAAAAGAAAACACAAAAUAGAUGGAAAUUGAAGCAUUGCCUCAUUUUACAUAUUUUCACUCAUAUCUGUUAACAAAUAGAUUUUUGUAUGGAAGUAUAUAUUGUAAUUAAAUCAUUUAUAUCGUUUUCAUCCAAUUUAAUUCAAUUAUCUAACAUAUUUUAUAAAUAUUGUGAUGCUAGUUGUUACUUAAUCAAGUUCUUCUUUUCUCUCUCAUCUUUUACAAGGUAAACAUUUUUUUAGCGUUUAUUACCUAAAAUUGACGAAAAUAGUAUAGCUGAGAUGAUUGUAAAAGUGUAAGUAUAUCAUCCAUAUAUCAUUUGUUGUAUUUGACAAUGCCAUAAAAAAUACAAUAACAUAAUUAUCUUUUUUCCUAAAAAAAUUGGAUGUAAAUAUUCAGUACAUGAAAAAUUACCCUUUUUGAAGUAGCCAAAACACUUAACUUUUACUUUUUAUUUUAUCCCCCCCACCCACCCACUCACCCACAAACUAUCAUUUUUACUUUUAUUUAAAAAGACUCGACAAUCAUCGAUAACAAUCUAAAUUAUUUGAGCAAAUGCAAUAUAUAAAGCUGAAAUUUUCUUCAUGGUGCUCAUCUUCACAAAAUAUAAUGUAAGCAGUGUCAUAAACUAGGUUGUUGAUUGGAAAUACAUGUUGGCUCAUUGAAGAAUAACAUAACUUGCAAUCCUUAUUAUGUUUGUAAUAUUAAAUGUAUUUUUCUUUAAUAAUUGUCGUGUUUGUGAUGAUCUAUCUAUGUUUGAUUUUUCUUAGCAGACUCAACUUCCUAUGUGCUCUAUUCCAGAUAUGAUAAUGCUAGUUCAGUUCCCAUGGUCUUUUUCAAAUUUAGUUGAAGUAGAUGCACAAGGGAGUGACAAAUUGUUGAAAAGCCACAUAAUUUUUCCAUGCAAGGAGUUGCUGAAUUUGAAGAAUCUUGAAAAGCUUUCUAUUAUUACCAGCAAGUAUGGUGAAUCUAAAAUAGAGGAGGUAUUUGAAGUAGCAGAAGGGACAAAUGAAGAUGUGGAUAUUGAAACACAAUCUGUUGUGGUAUUUGAGAAGCUGAAAGAGGUGACUUUGGGUAGAUUAAAUAAUCUGAAGCAUAUGUGGAAGAGCAAUCGGUGGAUAGUGUUGAACUUUCCAAACCUUACAAAGGUCUCAAUUGAAAGUUGUAAGCUUCUUGGACACGUUUUCAGUAGUUGCAUGGUUGGCAGUCUAUUGCAGCUCCAAGAGCUACAAAUAAGUAACUGCGAGAGUAUGGAUGUGAUUGUGAAGCAAGUUGAAGAUUCCAAAACCAGACCGACUACAAAGGUUGUGUUCCCUUGUCUAAAAUCCAUAACACUUGAAAUGCUUCCAAAUCUCAAGGGAUUUUGCCUGGGGAAGGAGGCUUUUGAAUGGCCAAUAUUAGAUACUUUGGAAAUCAAAGAUUGUCCAAAAAUAACAGUUUUCACAAAUGGGCAAUCAACUACUCCAAAGCUAAAACUAAUAGAUACAACUUUUGGAUUGUGUCAUGCAACGGAAGACCCAAACUCUUUCAUAAAGACCAAACAAGAAGAGGUAUAUGGUGUCUCCUUUGGUUAUUAGUAACAGAUUAAUAUGUUUGAUCCAACAAAACGUUUACUUUACUCUCGAAUUUACAACUUAUUGUAAUCUCCUCUCCUACAGGGAUGGGAGUUCUAGAGCAACAUCAAAUUCACACGUGCGGUUUGGUUCGUUUUGAAGUUAGCUAUAUAGCACAGGUAAGAUUACAUUGUACACUUAUUUCCUUCUUCCCAAUCAUGUACAUGUUUCUCCACCUUAGUUAUCUGAUCAUUGAAUUGACUUUUUGUCACAGUUGCUUGCUUACUACUCUUUCAAUUCGGGUUAUUGAACUUCUAUUUUCAAGUAAUCUUAUCUAUGAUGUGUCCACUUCUUGUAUUUAAUUAAGCUGUGACCAACUUAGCAAUAAUUACACAAGUUUUUAUUAAUUGGUCUGUACAUGUUCCACUAUUUUAAAUAGUAAAUAAAUUCAGUGGUUGAAGGUGCAUAGAAUGAUAGUCCAUCGUACAUGAAACUUUCUUAGCUCACACCGGGUAAGAAAGAAAAAAAAAGUAUGAAGCUAAUUUGUUAUAACAUAAAACUUCUCUUAAUUCAACAGAUCUGUGCUCUUAAUUUUUAUGAACACCCGGUGUUUGAUAAAAUUCUUCAAUGAAAAAAGACCCAUAAACUUUUGGCUCCUCUUUUAAGUCAAGUGUAUUAAUGUUUGUUUUGUAUAUGAGCACUUAAAUCUUGAGGAAGCGACUCCAUUUCUCUCUUGUAAGUUGAGUGUGUCAGUGUCACCCAUAUAAAAGCUUUGUUUUUCAGUCUCUGAAAUAAAAAGAAUAAAAUUUGGUUACAAAUAUCUUAUGUUCAGUGCAGGUUUCCAUCGCCACCUUCAAUGAAUCUGUCUCAUGAUGAUUUUGAGUUAACAAUUGUUCACUAAACCUAGAUAAGUUACAAUUAUGCCCAUGACUAUGAGCCAUCCAUUGAUUAUUUUAAACCUAUUUGAGAAACAGAACACUUAUGCAUAUUAUCUGAUUUUUGAUGCAUCUGAGGUUUAACAUUUUUUUUAUAAUCAAAUUUAGUUUGAUAUUGGAGUUGUCAUUAUUUAUAAUCACGCUCAGAUUUUGAAAAUGCCACUUAUGUAGAAAUUAUUUGAUGAAAAAAACAUUAUAUUUUCAUUCAUUGUUUAAUUUGUCACUUUGUGCAUGUUUUUGUCGACAUACGGUUGUACCAUAUGAUGACAUGAAAAUUUUUAUGUGGUGGCUGGUUUAGUUGGAUUAAAAGACGUUACCUGUCAAGUUGAUUUUAUGCAGUGGCGGGCUUAGUUAGAAAUAUUUGAUGAAAAAACAUUACAUUUCCAUUUCUUCACAAUCUUCAAACCUUUGGUCAUUUAUUUAAAGUUGCGUAAUGAUCAAUGUUGCAUACUUUAUGUCAGUUGCAUAAAUUUGUAAUGAAAGUGAAACACUGUUGCAGAAUUUGUCUAAAAAAAAUAAAAAAAAUUGGUGCAUAAACUGGUCCUAGAAUGAAACAUAGUUGAAUAAUGAAUAUUAUGUCUAAAAAAAUAUUUUGUUGCAUAAAUUGACUAACAUGUGCAAUCAAUGUCCGUGGCUUAAACAUGUUAAAUCAUAUGGUUAAAAAUGUAAUUCACUCACUUUUCUUAGAAGCAUAUGGUUCCGAAUACAAAUAGAAUCCUAAUAGAUAGAUGAAAAUAAAAUCAUAUUCCUAACCAUCAAACGGCUCCUAGGUGAUUACUUCUUCCCUUUGCUCGACUCAAACGGCUCUAGCUUCGGCCGCAAAGAGUUGACGUUUGAGAUUGGCUAUUUCUUUCUCAAGAGAGUGUAUGUAGUCUGUAUCACUUUCCUUAAUAGUGUGUGAGUCUGAUAGGGCUUCCGAUGGGUGGGGCUUACUAGGUGUAUCCUUAACGUCCUUUCCUUCAUCUGACUCCUGGUCAGAUUCAUCAUAUUCGUAAUCAGUUACCACGUACUCUUCCGGUUCCACUCCGGGUCCCACCUCCCAUUGUAGGGCCUCCUUCAGGCUUUUCUUCAGGAUUGUCAUCUAGACCCACCUCAAUCUCCCUAUAGACUACUAGAGCUUGAUAGUAGGGGUCGUCUUGCUGCAUUCCUGCCAUAUUGCCCGCGUGGGAAGUAUAGGUGUGAAAAGUGUGUGCAUUGGGGUGUAUAAGGAUAGUAUUCUUAAAAUACUCCUACAAUGUUUAUUUUUCUUAAGUUUAGUUCCUUUAACCUAUUUGGAUAGUUAGAUGGUAAGCUUUCGGUUUAUUGACCAUCACGAUUAUUCCCAAACAUAUGUUGAUCUUACUUUGAAUGAAUGUAGUUGAUUAGGCUACAUUGAUCCCCAAUACGAUUACAUAACUGCCCUGAUUAAAUCGCAAUGUUCAAAUCCCCCAAAAACUUUUAUUGUAUAGUAUCAUGCUAUUAUUCUAAAACACGCACAUAGGUAAGUAUUUUAUUUACUCUGUUCAGAGUUAUUUAGCCCCAUUGUGUUUAUAGUUGCAUAUCAUGUAUGCUUAGAUAUGUUAGUUCACUAUAAACAAAGCUCUGAUACCAACCUGUCACACCCCUGAACCAGACGACGGAAACGUCCGGGGGUUCGUGUGACUUAAAUUGAAAUAUUAUCACAAUGAAUAUACAAGAAACAUAACAUAAACAUGACCAUGCAGUAAUACAUUACAACUGACCUUGUUCACAUCAAGUACAUUGUUUACAUUACAAUAUCACAGAGCAUAAAUUGUUUAACGAUUGACAUUUGCACAAAAGAAAGAAAAAGGGAAGAGGGAAAAGGGAAGAGGGAAAGAAAGAAUGGCAUGGAAACAUGAGAUCAUGCAUAGUCACAUGUUGUGUAAUAUGCUUAGAUGACCACUGAACAAUAAUGAGGUGGCUAGCACUCAUUAAUCUUCUUAGUUUCUCCGUUUUUGUAUUGGGCCGAAAUGGGCUGAAGAAAGAGGAAAGGAAUCACUUUGGCCCAUUCUUGGUCUUGCUCGAAAGUGUGAAGUCUCUAUACAAGUUUUCGGCCCAUUGGGCCUUUAGGGUAGUUCAUGGCCCAAUGAAAUCCAAUUGGAGAGGGUUUACGGUCCAAUAAGGAAUUUAAUUCACUUAUGGCCCAAUAAGGCCCAUUAGUGUAAAAUGAUCCAUUCUAGACCCAUAAGGCCCAAAAGGUUAAGUUUCAUGAAAGUGGGUCCAAUUAGGGCCCAUUUAAGGGUUCUAAGCCCAAAGUAGUCAAAUUGAAAGCUUAUUGGUCCAUUAGGCCCAAUAAGGAAAUCCUAGUCCAUAAUGGAUUUAGGUCGGGAUUCUUAGGGUUUUCAAACCCUAACUUGACUUUGUAAUGUUUUGCAUGAAGUUUGGGCUUUAUAAUUGGAUUUUUGAUGAAAGUUUGUUGUUAUUGAAUAACAUCAUAUGCAUAUCAAGUUAUGGUUACAAUUUGUUGUCAUUGAUAUUGUUUACAAAAGUAUAGAAUUUCCUAGCAAAUUUGCUAGUUGUGACAGAUACGACCCGUAUGGGUCGAUUUGGUCAAGUCUACCGACGCAGGAGAUAAGUUCAAGAUUGAUGUUGGAAUAAGUUUUAAGAUUCCUUUAGGAUUCAAGUUUCCUUUUUUACAGUUUCUUUUUAUUAAUGUAUUAGUUUUGGAUAUUGAUUAGGUUUUUUGUUAUUAAGGAUUUGUUUAGGUUUAGCUGGACAUUAUAAAUAAAGCACCUUAGGAACACAUUUUUCUUUAUGCAUGGAAUACAAGUCUUUGACUGUUUUUUUGGAGAAUUCCCUGUUUCUCGAAUCACAGGCGGGUCGACUAAGGUUCUUACCUCCGGGAAGGAUCUUGAUCUUAUUAAAGAUCUAUGUCAGAUGCUGUUAUUUCACCACCUGAAAUAUUAACAAAAAAAAUAAUAAAAAAGUUUCCAAUUACAACUAAAAAGUUUCACUGCCCCUCCCCCAAAACAGAAUCUAGACAUCAGACAUCAGGUAGCAAUGCGAGUGAAAAGAGUGACAACAAUACUGGUAUAACUUACACCGACUCCAAAGGUGAUUUGGAGACACAAAAUAGGUAUUUUAAACUUCUUUCAAUCAUGGAAAUAAAAAGAGUUAGUUACAAGAAUUGUCCUUGUGUUAUACCCAAAGUUGCAUAUUCAAUCCAACUUUGUUUUUUCUGUUUCAUUUUGGUCCCUAACAUUGGUUUUUGUUUCCGAUUUAUCACUGGUCCUGUAAAAUGACAUGUAAAAAUAGUUUAAAAAUAAACAAAUUAUAGAAAACUUUACAUUUUUGUUCCUUAAGUAUGGCUGCUUUUUUGCAAUUUUGGUCCUAAAACGUUUUCUUUUGCAUUUUUUGUCCUUAGUUGACAUUCGUGUAAUGUUUUUGGUCCCGGUUCCAAAUUAAGUGACAAUUUUUUCUCUAUGGGUGUGAUUUUGCAAUUUCGAUCCCAAAAAUAGCCAUUUUACUAGGAACAAGGGAAAAAAAAACGUUAUAAAAAUCUUAAAUAAGGACCAAAUUAGCAUGACAACCUUUUGGGACCAAAAUUAAAAACAUCAGCUAUACUCAGGGACCAAAAAUGCAAUGUACUUUAAAAAGAAACAUAUGAGGGUAGAAAAUUCAUUUUAUUGUAGAAGUUGGACUAAACCUGAAAUGUUGGGAAUAACAUAGAGACCAUUCUUGUAAUUACUCUAAAAAAGAAUAAAACUUGGUAACAAAUGUCUACCUUAUAAUGGGUGCAGUCUUUCAUCGCCACCAUUAUGACGGUUUCGACUUUACCAUUGUUCAUGAAACCCUGAGAAAUGACUAUAAUGCCCUUGAUCAUGAGCCACCCAUUGUGAAGGAAACACCAAUCAAGAGCAGUUACCCUACUACUCUUGAAUCUGUCUCCGAGUCAAUCAUAAUCUAAUCAAAGUUUCCCACUCGUUCCUUUUCUUCCCCUUGUUCCACAUUAGCUUCUGAAUGCAUGAACACAACAACACCGCCUAAAAAACAACAAAUCCCUCAAAACAAUUCACAUAUAGAUUCAAGCGUCAAUUCCCAUUUUCAUAAAAGAAGAAAGUCUUCAGCUUUAGCAUCAGUCAAGAUGGCCCACUUUGAUUCCCCUGACCCUAAAACCAAAUUUCCAGUUAAAGAAACCAUGAAUCUUGAUGAUGAAACCAAGAAUGAUCUAAAAAUAUCGUGUUCACUAUGUGCAAAACCCACUGGGUCUUGCGGAAAAUGACUAUUAUGUCCCUUGUUCUUUGAUGUCGUUAUCUAAGGUGCAGUUGGUGUCAAGUUGGAAAGGGAGAGAAAAGGGUCUCACAUGUGUAGCUGUUGUGGUGUCUGAUAUUACAUGUGUUGAUGGGAGAAUUUGGAGCAAAGAAGAUGGAUGUGUAUUAAAUACGGCUUUCUACCCUUUCUGUAGUGAUCAAGUCAAUUGCCUUGGGUUACAUGUUGUGGCAACUGAUUCCUCUAAUGUGUAGCUUUUAAACAAGGUAUCAUAUCAAUUCAUACUAUUAUAAUAUCUUGUCGCAUAUCCAACUGAUAAUUAUUGAGGGCAUAUUGGUUAUUUUGUUGAUUUAUGUUUUGGGAGUUGGGAGUUGGGAUGUGAUGAAUAUGAUCACAAAAUAUCUUUGAUCCUUCAGAGAUAUACAACCAACUUAUAUAACUUUUCUAUAUGCAGGUGCUCUUUUAUUCUGAAAGACUAGAAAUCCAACAUAUCGAUACAUCAACAACAAAUAACGUAAUUUUGCAUACGUUUCAAAUCGAAAGUGACUCCCUUAAAACAUUUGCAACUUUUGUCUUAUUGAAAUCAGGCACACAGUCCCAAUCCAAUACAUACCAAAUGCAGUACAACCUGUUUUUUCAUAUACCGUCAUGUGUAACAAACUGGAUUUUAAUUGUAGGAAGUCUCACCUUCUAGUGUUACAAGUUUGAGUAAAGGCGUCUCACAAAAUCCGUUUGAGAAAUUUGCCUACACAUCUCCACAAACCAACUUGAUAGGUUGAAGAACCACAAAAUCUAAGGUCAAAAAUCUAUAAUAUCUUGUUAUUUAUAGAUUCAUUAAACGUAUUUUAAAUUCUAGUUAAAGUUAAACUAUGUUUGUUGAUCAUGCAGAUGAGAUUACCAAAGAAAGUCCAAGUAUCCACUUCUGAAUAUUAAUGCCUAACCUUACAUGUAAAUUCUCAAUCAUUGCUAAAUUGGUUUUAAACCUAUUUGGGAAAUUUAGGAUCUAUGGUUAUUAUAUUAAUUUCAUGAUACAUUUGAGGUGUAUGACCAAUAAAAUGUGACUAUUGUAGUUGUAACAUUCUUUAUGACCAGCCAUAGUUUUAAUUUUGUUGUUUAUAAUGUUAUUUUCCUGCUUUUGGACAUGUUAAAUAAUCAACUCUAAUACGUUUUAAUUAAAGAUAUAAUAUUUUGAUGUAGAAAGUUGGAAUGAUCAAAUGAUUAGUAUUUAGUAGGUUAAGUGUUUUUAAUGAUAAAUAAAAUAUUUUUUACUAUAAAAUAGCCAACAAGACCAUAAAAGUAAUAUUUUGCUAAACAUGAAAUUAUAUUUCACUAAUUCAACCAUUUAAACCCUCGUCCAAGAAAACCAAUGGGACCAUUAUGGACUAUGAAAAAGAGAAUACGGAAAUGAUAGAUGUUGAAAUGAUGAAAGAAAUAUCUUACUUAAAUUUGUAUCACUCUUUAUUGUCUAAUCAUUUCCCAUUUUCCUAUUUGUUUUUCAUUUUUCAUUAGGCUUCAUGAUUUUUGUAGAUGGUGGUUUCCUGAUAGUGAGGUCAUAGAUUAAAUUUAUGUAAAUUUGUGCGUUCAAAUGUUAAAGGUCAUUCGAACGUAUUUGCUAUUGAUAUUUGAUUAUUUUUGCUAUCAUUAAUUUGGCUCAAACGGAAAAGUACAACUCUUUGCAGUUAGAUAAAAAAAAUUGUGAUCGAAUUUACUUUGACUGCAUUGAUAAAAUAUGAAACAAUUAAAGAAGUUUGCAAUCACGUGGACAUAUUGCGUACUCAGUCUAAUUUUGAUAAGUGGUACCGGUUAGAGUCAUAUAUUCAAACACUUCAAUCUAAUACUAUGAGUGUCCAAGAUUUUUUGUUAGGACGUUUUGUUAUUAAAAGUUUUGAACUAUUUUUUCUCAUUAUUUUAAACCAUUUAAUUUAAUAUGAUAUGGUUUUUUAAAACACAUGUUUUAGUUGUUAAAUUAAAUUAUUACAUAAGCUUUUUCAAAUAUUAGACCAACUAAUAAUCAUCCCACUAAAUACAAUUAUUUUGAAAUUUUUUACAAAUUCUCUUUUUCUUUUUUGCAAAGGGAUGCCCAAAAUUAGGGUGAUAUAUAUGUGGUGUAAAUGAAAUAUCACAUAUUAAGGUGGGGUAGGGAUCCGACAUUGUAUCGUGCUUCAAUAGAAACCGGUGGGACCUUUGACUGUUAGUAUAUUACUUGUGCUAUACUCUGUAGUAUGUUAGGCAAUGCUCUUAGUACCUAGAUUAUGACUGUUGACUGCAUUAUUUCCAUCCAUCCAAUACCAUGGUAUUUGCAGGUCAACAGCAAUAAUUGAGGCUUGUUCAUACUUCAAUAUAUUGGCCUUCUUCUUCACAAUUCCAACCAGUUGUACACAUACGCACUUUACAAAGCAGCAAAAACAGCAAGCAUUAGCACAGGCGCAUAUAGUAGAAGAGGUAUGUUUUUGUUGAAAGUUUUUCUCUUUGUUUAUGAAUAAUUUUUCUUAGUUGUUUUUAGUUUUCAAUCUAUCGAUCCUUGACGAAAUUAUCUGAAAAAAAUGUUUUGCUUUGUUACUUGUUGUGGAUUGUUCGUGUAUGCUCCACAUAUAAAAUCAAGUCAAUGUUUAAAUGAAUGACAAUGCCUCCUCAUUUUCCCUCUUUUGAUUAUUGAACAAUGUUUUGGAGGAAUGGUUUUCUUAGGACAGAUGCUUCCACGUAGAGAUCAGUUCUAGCCCUAAUAAACCCCCUAAUAGUAUCACUGUGGGACUCUGUUUCCAACUAAUAGAUACCCUAAUUAAAAGGCACGGUAUUUUGUUCCUCAUCUCUCACAAUUUUACAUGAUGAUGAAGAUGUUGAAAUUAACAAUCUAUUCCCACUUUCAAUCAUUUCAAAGAAAACCAAGGUUAAGUUGACAAGGGAAGACAAACAGCAAAAUUAACUAUGAAUUUACAUACACAUUAAUUUACCAACUAUCAAUUCUAUUCUAGCCAAACUUAUUAUGUGUCCUGAAUCCUGAAGGAAACUUUUUAUAACACUAAUUAUCUAUGGAUUGUAUAUGAUAUUUGAAAAAAGAUAGCUGCGCAGGCUAAUAAUUAACAACUUUUAACAAUUUCAUUGCCUUUUUUAUCUGUUACAGGUCUUUGUAAAAGCUAGAAUAUUGAAAGAUGGAGCUUGUAUCUACAAUCAUUAGUCCUAUUGUUGAAUCUUUAAUUGCUCCUGUCAAGAAACAACUGAGAUAUCUCUUUUCGUCCACGAAACAUGUUAGGAACAUGAAUACUAAAAUAAAGCUACUGGAUGAUACAAGCCGUGAUGUCAAAAAGCACAUGGAAACAAACAAUAGAAGUAAUCUGGAGAUACCUACUCAUGUACUGGGGUGGUUGAAAGAAGUCGAAAAGACUAAAGAAAAAGCUCAAAGCAUUCCAAGUACUGGGAACGGAUGUUGUAACUUGAAAAUGAGGUAUCGAGCUGGAAGGAAGGCAUUCAAGACUACGGAGGAGAUGGAAAGUCUUAUUGAUGAAAAUAGUAAGAUAAUUUGGACAAAUGCUCAAAGACCUCUUGGGAAAGUGAACUCAGAAAUCGCAUCCAGUUCUGCACCUUCGGAUGGUGAUGCCCAAAAUCACUUCAAAUCAAGAGAGAAGUCUUUUAAGAACGCCUUGGAGUCCCUCCAACAAGAUCACAAGAGCAAAGUGAUAGCCCUAUGUGGAAUGGGUGGUGUGGGGAAAACCACCAUGAUGGAGCAACUGAAAAAGGCUGCAGAAGAUAAGAAAAUGUUUGAUUAUGUUGUGAAGGUGGUUAUUGGGCAACAAAUUAACAUGCUUUCUAUUCAGCAAGAUGUGGCAGUGUAUAUGAUGGGCCAAUCCCUCACUGAACUGAGUAAAGAAGCAAGAGCAGAUCGUCUUCGUAUAACAUUUGGAAACCUUCCAGAAGGUAGAAGAAAGGUUUUACUAAUACUAGAUGAUGUAUGGGAGACGAUUGAACUCAAAGAUAUUGGACUGAGUCCUUUGCCCAACAGCUUCAAGUUGUUGUUGACAUCACGGAAUGAAAAUAUUUGCAAACAAAUUGCAGUAGAAGCUAAUUCGGAGUCGACACUAGUUCGAGUGGAUGUGAUGGAGGAGCCCGAAGCACAAAAUUUCUUUUGGCAAAUCACAGGAGUUUCAAAACAACAUGAUAUGGAGCUCAAUCAAAUAGGAAGUGAAAUUGUGAGAAGAUGUGGUUUUUUGCCCCUUGCCAUUAAACUCAUCGCUAAAACCCUUCAAUUUCAUGAAGUUUUUGUAUGGAGAGAUACUUUUCAACGGUUGAAGAAGAAGAAUCUUGAUGAGAAUGUGCAAGAAGUUAUUAAGAUAAGCUAUAAUUAUAUAAAAACAGAGGAGGAAAAGGUGAUUUUUCUUCUGUGUGGCUUGUUUCCUGAUGACUUUAAUAUCCCAAUUGAGGAACUCACAAGAUAUGCAUGGGGCCUACAGUUAUUAAGUGAAGUAUCCACUUUGGGAGAGGCUAGAGACAGGACAAAAAUGUGUGUGCAGAAUCUUAGAAAUGCAAAUUUGUUGAUGGAUAGCGAUUGGAUUGGGUGUGUCAAAAUGCAUGAUCUUGUGCUUGCUUUUGUCAUAAGUAGAGUUUCUAAAGGUCAUCAUCCAUGGAUAAUCAACCAUGGUGAUGUUUCAAAGUGGAGUAGAGCUGAAGUGAAAGAGUCUUGCAAAAGAAUCUCUAUUACUUGCACAGGUAUGUCUGAGUUUCCUGGUGACUCUAAGUACCCAAACCUAUCACUUUUGAGACUUAUGGAUGGAGAUAAGUCGCUUAAGUUUCCUGAAGGUUUUUAUGAAAAAAUGGAAAAUCUUGAAGUUGUAGCAUAUGAAAAAAUGCAGUAUGCGUUGCUUCCCAGAUCACUUGAAUGCUCCACCAAGCUACGAACACUCAUUCUCCAUAAAUGCUUAUUGAUGUUUGAUUGCUCUGUUAUUGGUGAACUCUUAAAUCUCGAAGUGCUUAGUUUUGCACAUUGUGGCAUCAGAAAGUUACCAUCCACAAUCGGAAAGUUGAAGAAGCUAAUGCUACUGGAUUUGACGGGCUGUAUCAAUCUUCGUAUUGAUGAUGGUGUCUUGAAAGAUUUGGUCAAUCUUGAAGAGCUUUAUAUGAGAGUUGCUGAUGAAAAGGCAAUUAGGUUCACAAACAGCAAUCGUGCUGAAUUAGCAGAGCUUUCAAAGCACCUUUUUGCAUUAGAAGCUGAGUUCUUUGACAACAACAAUACACCCGAGAAUAUGCUGUUUACUAAACUUAGAAGGUUCAGGAUCGCUAUGGGAUGUGGUUUAGUAGCCAAUACUGACAAAAAUAUGCACUCAUUUGAAAACACGUUGAGGUUGGUCACUAACAAGAAUGAGCUAUUGGAAUCUGGAAUGAAUGAGUUAUUUGAGAAAACUGAGGUGCUUUAUUUGGAGGUGGAUGGUAUGAAUGAUCUUGAAGAAGUUUUAUUGGAAUCAGUUCAUCUCCCUCGAUCGGUGUUUAAUAAUCUAAGAGUCCUUGAUGUGUUCAAAUGUGAAAACUUAAGAUACCUCUUUACAGUCCCUAUUGCAAAUGGUCUGGUGAAGCUUGAGCGCCUCACAGUUUCAGAGUGCUCUGUUCUUGAAGUACUUGCACGUAGUGAGAAUGGUGUAGCUGGGAAAAUUAAGUUUCAGGAGCUAAAGUUUCUAAGUUUGAAAAGCCUACCAAAGUUGAUAGGUCUUUGCAACACUACUAAUGUAAUUGAGCUACCACAGCUGGUGGAGUUGGAACUUGAUGGCCUUCCUAACUUCGGUAGCAUUUAUCCAAAGAAAACAUCUGCAACAUCUUCUAUGUCCAGUAAUGACUCUGCAAUUCAACCAUUCUUUAACAAACAGGUAAUUCUAUAUUAGGAUUUAUGUUGACAGUUUCAUAGAUUGUCUUGUAAUGAAAGUCUGUAUUGAUUGGAUUGUGAUCCCCCAAGCAAACUAUUUUCGAUUUUGGUUUCACUAUUGAUGAUUAACAAGUCUUAAUUGUUGUGCAGGUGCUGAUUCCUAAGCUGGAGAUAUUGGAAAUUGGGAGGAUGAAUAAGCUGAAAGAGAUAUGGCCUUAUCAAUCUAGUAGUAGUGACGAAGUUAAUGCCUGCAUGUUGAGAGAGAUUAGAGUGAGGGAAUGUGAUAAUCUUGUGAAUCUGUUUCCAACCAAUCCCAUGUCUUUGCUGGGUCGUCUGGAAGAGCUUGUUGUUUCUAAUUGUGGAAGCAUUGAAGUGUUAUUUAACAUCGACAUGAGUUGUGUUGGUGAAAUUGAAGAAUACAGUAGCAACUUGAGACUCAUUAAUGUAGAUGGUUUGGGGAAGCUAAGAGAGUUGUGGAGGAUGAAAGGUGAAAGUAGCUCUGAUAUCCUCAUCCGUACCUUUCAAGCUGUUGAAAGUAUAGAAAUAAGAGAGUGUGAGAGGUUUGUAAACGUAUUCACACCGACCGUGAGCAAUUCUGAUGUGAGGACACUUAUGAAUGUGAGUAUAGAUGGAAGGAGACCUUCUGAAGAAACCAGGAGCAACAUUGAAUUGAUUCAGAACAGCCAGGAGGUAUGUGAUGUCAUUGAGCUUUCAAUUUCUAUUUUGAUGUUUAUAACUUAUGUAUAUGUGUCUCUAUACAUACAUACACGUAUAUAAUAUAUCACACUAUAACAAAUCAAUCAAUUCCACACAAUUCUUUCGAUGUGUUCUGCUAGAUUCUCACUCUUGAAUUUCAAUCACACAAGGAUGGAAAGGAGAAAUACAAGAAAUUAUAGAUCUCACACAGAAAAUUGAUGAUCUAAUGAUUAAUUUUACAUACAUGUGAUAGAAAUCUGGCAGUUUUAGAAGCCAGGAUCUCCCAAAGAGAGUAAUCUCUAAAAUAAUUGAUAAGAUAUCUCUCCUAACUGAUCUCUUACAAUAUAAAGACAUAACUGAAAUAGUUAAUUUACAUAAUUACCCUUGCUGCCUACAAUUGCUUAUUCAUGGUUUAAAUCCUUUCUUGCCUCUUUGUGAAUAAGUAAGAAUUGGUUUAUUAUUUCCCUUCUUGCCCCUCCUUGAAUAUGUGAACAUGAGUGGUGGUCUAGCAUGUUCACACUUUAAAGUGCAAUACGAUUAUUAACCUGCGUGAAGAUAUGUAUCCUGUCAAAUUAUUUAUAAAUCUUUACACUUCAACAUGUGAUAAAAACAAAGUUAAAACUCGGAAUUCAAAAACAUGGACAAAUUAUCUAUAUCACUACUACGCUUUUAUUAUUAGCAUAUUUAUAAGCAAGUUAAUGGGGACCAAAAUUCGUAAACAAUUUAAUGGACCUAAACAAAAAAAAACAGAUAAACACAGGGACCAAUUUUGUAAUUUAGUGUGAAAAAUAUCAUUGUGUAAGUGUGUGUAUUUUACAUAUUUAUUUCUAAUUAUAUUUGUUGUUGAGAUAUGUGCAGAUUAAUGUUAUAUCAAAGACAGAGAUUUCAAAGGUGUAUGGUAAUAUCCCUGACAUUGAAUCCUCAAUUCAUCCCAAACCUUUUCACGUUAAUCACCUUCAAACACUUGUUGUAAGUGGCUGUAAGGAUGUUGAAGUGGUGUUUGAGAUAGAGAGUUCCAGUAACAGCAACAGCACCACAGAUUUCACAACAAGUCUGCAUAAAUAUAAUCAUCAACCACCACCACUACUACUUCCCCACCUCAAGUCUUUAUAUUUAAUAAAUAUGGAGAGGAUGAGUGAUGUGUGGAAGUGCAAUUGGAAGAAACUUGUAAUUCCUCAAAACCAAUCACAAUCCUACUCAUUCCACAACCUCACACAAAUAUUCAUGAGUGACUGCCAUAGCAUAAAGUACUUAUUUUCACCUCUCAUGGGCAAACUUCUUCCCAACUUAAAGAGGGUGGAGAUAUGGUUUUGUGAUGGCAUUGAAGAAGUUGUUUCAAAUAGAGAUAUUAAUGAUGAAAAUGAAGAAAUAAUAUCUUCUACUCACACAAACACCAUCUCCUCCUUCCCUCUUCUUGAUCUUCUCAACCUGUGGAAUCUCCCAAGCCUAAAGAGUAUCGAUGGCGGUACUAAAAUCACAACUACUUCCAUCCAUGAUCAGUUCAAGGUAUAUUUGAUUUCCUUUAAGCGAAUCCUUUACAUAUUCAGUUAUUUGUUUUAUUUAUUUUUAAUAUUCUAUUCUCCAUUAGCUGCUUUAUAUAACUCCCUAAGCUAAUUCUUCUGAAGCUGGAAAGACAAAAAUAAAUAACUACAUCAUAGUAUUUAAUAGUUUUUUCAUUUGCGUAGGUCCUUAAGUUGAUUUAUAAUAAGACCGGAUUGUGAGGGGGAAAAAAAUUGAUUGAUGGAUGUAUAUAAGUCUUAUGAAAAAUAGAAAAAAAAAUGAUUUUAUUGAUGCAUUUUUUUUUUGUUUCCUAGCAUGCUAGUUUGGCUUAGUAAAAUUCGGUUUGCUGUUUAAACGAAAUAUCUAUUUUGCUGACAUCGAACAAAAGAAUAUGAAACUUUACAUAAUUGUAUCUAGGUGGCAAUAGUCCUGUUUACAACUUCUUUUGUACCAGAAAAGUUUCCUAUUUAAAAUAUUAACUUUAAUACAUUGAACUAUCAUAGAGUCAAAUGUCAGUAUUGUCAAUUUUGGAAAUAUCUCUAGAUCUUAAUUUAUCUAGUAUAAUUAACCAACUUUUUACUGAAAAGGGCUCCCUUGAAAAAAUCUUUGUUCUAAAAAUGCUUUGGGUCUAUUUAAAUAUUAGAAUUAAGAUAGAUUUUUUUUACGAUAUACAAUUAAUGAAAAUUCAUUGAUGUAUAAUAAAUUAACAUGAAGAAGAUGAUGCAUGUAGAAUAUAUUAACCGUUCAUGAUAGUAAAAUUAUUUAAAACAUGAAGAAGAUGAUGCAUGUAAUCAGUGCAACUGCGGAAACCUAAGCAUAUUGAUUGCAAACUCAUUUCCGAUUAAUAAAUUUAGAAGUAAAGUUAUGUUUUCAUUUUCUCACAUUGAGGGGGUAAUGGGUUAUAGAGUCCAAUGAUAUUUGUUUUCUCUUCAUAAAUCAUGGCACUAUACUAAUUUUGAAUUGGGCCAUAUACGAAAAAACCACUAUACCCAAUUAUAUGUGGCUAUAAAUGGGUGGAUUUUGAAAGUACCUAUAUGCUGGUCUUGGGUCAUUUAUUAAAGGCUAAAAUGCUAGAAAUAACAAUUUACUUUCAUCGAUUUGCUUAUCAAAUCAUCCUACUUUCACUUUUUUCUAUUAAGAAACCCACCCAAUUAUAGCAGUGUCAUCUAAAUACAAAGGAUUUCCGUUGCUGUAAUAGAAAGAAAUGAAAGUAGGAUGCUUUAAUAAAAGAAUAAAUGGAAAUGCGUUGCUAUUUCUUGCAUUUAUCCUUUCUUCAAUACAGACAAGUAAAGUUCAUAGUUACAAUAUUUUGUAUACUUGUAUGUGUUUUAUACAUGUGUUCCUGCAGACACGUGUGAAAUAUAUAUAUGUUGAUUAAUUGCUAAUCAAAGUACUUCAAAGUCUCUUCAGUUUCGAGUUUUAAUUUGAAUAAUUAGUUGCUAAUUAGUUGUGUUAAUCAGCACCCUGGCAGUUUUGUUUUUUCUUGUUUCUAUUUCCUUUUUUCUAGCUGUUCAUAAUCUCGUAUAAGCCUGUAUAAGGCCACUUUUAUGAUUGAUUUAGUGUACCUUUUCUUUCAUCCACCAUCUACUUGUUCUCUCUUGCCAACAAUAUAAAGCAUAGCUUACAACUGAUUUCUUGUUUUUAGUUAUUUGGUUAUAUAUAACAAGGGUAUUUUGGUCAUUUGACAAACCUUCUUCCUUAAUGGAGUGUCCAAACACCACGAUCUGGUUUCUCUUAAUUCAUUUUUUCACCAUAAAAUCCAACAUGAACUUUGUCUUGUAAACCGUUUGAAUCUUUCACAUGUAGGUCCAGAUUUUGUGGCCUAGGUGGUUUUCUAUCCUUAUGCCAAUUCUGUGUCUUUCAGAAGUAUGCUUCUUAUGAUCCUUCCACUUUCUUCAUGUUGUUGAUUCUGUCUGUCACCACCAGAACCUCAUAAAAGUUUCUGCUGAGGUGUCACACUUGUGUUGACCUGGAAUUUGUGAAAAGUCCAAUGCCAUUUAUUUUCUCUUCAUAAAUCAUGGCACUCUACUUUUGCUUGCCUUAUGAAAUCCACCCAAGUUUGGAGAAAUAUUCUAUGCUGACCACUUUGACCUACUAUAGCAGGUUAAAGUGGUCACAAUAGAAAAUUUUGUCAAAGUUGAGUGACUAUAGUGAAAUUAAGUGGACUAAACUUUGACAACCUUUUCAAUUAUGACCACUUUAACCUGCUAUAGUAGGUCAAAUUUGUCGAUAUAGAAAGAAAUUUCAAACUUGGGUAGGUUUGAUGAGCUAAAACUGAAAUGGAAUUGUUAAACUGCAAAAAAUGGCCGAGAUAUUGUGAUUUUUCUGUAUAUUGCCCUUUUGUAGUUCAACUUACAUUGUCGACGUUACUGAAGUACCUUAGUUGUGGGAAGGACUUUUGUUUGUAACCACAUUUCUAGAAACAAAUAUUGCAUUAGAUUGUAGAGUGCAUGUACAUAGCAAACAGCUAAGCUUUGUUAAUUCAAUCAGCUCCAUUGAUUUUUCAUGUGUUGUUGUAGUGUUCUCAAGUCGGUGUUGCUUCUUGGUUCUUAUGCCAAUACUCCAAACACAUACAUAUAUGGAAUUGUCCUGCCCUAUCAAGAGUGUUUCCAUCCAAUGUAGUGGGACAACUGCAUAAGCUUGAAAAGCUGACAAUAUUAGAAUGUAAGUCAAUGGUGGAGAUAUUUGAAAGUAAAGAAAUAAACAAAGAUGGUGUUGAUAGUACUACGAAUGUUGGUGAUGGAAGUGAUGAUACUUGUACUGCAAUCACCAUCCCAAGGUCCGCAGAUAUGACUUUGCUUGAAUUGCCCAACCUAACGAUAUUGGAAAUCUAUGACUGUGAAGUAUUGGAAUAUAUCUUCACAAGUUCCACACUUGAAAGCCUCAAGCAACUCAAAGAACUGA
rnacentral:lncRNA from 1 species